CAGGCCGGAGGCGAUCAGCGCGCCGCGGCCGGUGUCGUUGGCCUCGGCGAACGUGGUGGCGAUGUUCGCGGCGAUCGAGUUGCCGCCGACCUGG
rnacentral:tRNA from 1 species